UACAGAGAACCCAGAUGGGUUUGUGGUGACUUGAGGACAAGGCUUCAGUGGGAGAUUAUACUAAUCACCAACUCGUAGGCCUGUGAGCUUGAGUUUUAUGUAGAUGAAAGGAUAAUGAAGAUGUGGUAUAUUUAUACAAUGGAAUAUUAUUCAGGCAUAAAAAAAGAAUGAAAUCUUGUCAUUUGCAACAACAUGGAUGGACCUUAAAGGCAUUAUGGAGGAUUUUGAAACAGCAGAAGAAAUGAAAGAAUUGGAUAAACCCAUAUUCAACCCCUGACGAAAUAAUGGAUCUGGACAAUGGAUGCUGAAAUCAUGGGUGAAAUGUCAAUGGGGUGCUUUAUUAUGGAUGGUUCAGGCUGAUAUCACCUGAACCACUGGUCAAUCUUAACAUCACUAAACGUGGGACAGACAGACAUGUGCCUCCUGAUGUGACUCACGGCAGCCACCGCCUUUGACAUAUUCUUGCCAAAAAAUUUGAAUCUGAAUCCAGUUGUCUCUAAUCUAACCACCAGUUUAUAGGAAAUAUGAAUUUUAGAACAUCACCUUAAAUAACACCAUGAAGGUACAAUCAGCCAAAUCUAGAAUCUUCAGCAAAUAAGUGUCAUGAAAAAAAAAAGAGGGGGCGAUGUUAGAUUAUAGGAGACUUACAAAACCCAUCAACCAAACACAGUGUGUGAAUUUUGUUGGGAUUCUGAUUCAAACAAGCAACGCCAAAAGACAUUUUUGAGAUAAUCAGAGAAAACUGAGUAGGGAUUGGGGUUAAAUGAUACUAAGGAAUAAUUAUAAAUUGUGUUGUUAUGAAAAUGGUACGGUUGUUAUUUUAAAAUUUUCUGUUAUGAUACAUUCUGAAGUAUUUAUGAAUGGGAUAAUAUGAUGGCUGAUAUUCUUGUCUAGGAAAAAGAGGUUGAAAGGUGGAUAGUUGAAACAAAAAUGAGAAAAUGUUGCUAAUUCUUAAAGCUAGGUGAUGAAUCUAUGGAGAUUAAUCAUUCUUCCUACUUUGGGAUAUAUUUGAGAAGUUCUAGAAUGAACAGCUUUAAAAAAAGGUAUUACUUUUGUUUCACAUCAUUUAUUCUUCCUUUCCUCCUCAGCAGGGCACUAUCACCCACUAUUUAUAAUUUAAGAAGGGAAGACAGUCACUCACCUUCCUUUCCAAACACUCAAGCAGAAAUAGUUCUAUUUCCCAAAGAUCUGUUCUAUAAUUCCCAGAUACUGCAUUUGCUCAAUCUCUAUUUAACGUGGCCUUUAUGGGAUAGGGGCUCUCUGAAAUGACUAGGGUCUCCAACAGUUAUCAAUUUAAAAUUUUGUCUAUUUUCUGCCUCAUUCAUUUCUUCAAGGUUAUGUGUCCAUCAAAAUAAGAGGCCAGUUGUAGAGAAAAUUGAAUAGCUUAUAAUAUGGACUGUAAUUUUUAUACCGUGGCUGUCAUAUUCAGUAUUUAAAGGCUGAGCUGCAAGUUGAAUGACCAUAAUAUUACUUUGAAAAUUUCUAUGGAAUUCAACAUUUUAUGGCAUUUUCCACUCAGGAGAAAAUCUUCUAUAAAUGUUCCAAUUUUUAGAAUCCCCGUGGAGCCGGGAUAAUAGUCACUGCCUAAAAUGGAUGAAGACUAAAAGAGAAUCCUAAGGGAGUGUUACCUCACUCUCUUGGGCUAUUUUUAGCCUCAGGUUUGCUCCCAGAGACAGAGGUGAAUAACUUUGUCAUCCAUUUCUCCUAACUAAAUGUGCAUCCUGACUUUCUCUCUUUACUACUCAUCAAAUUGGCAUUUUUGGUUUUUAACCCUUUCGGAUGUUCUGACCGCCUUAAAGAUUCUUAAUAAUUCAAGGACGCUUCCUCAAUAAAAUACUACGUAUGUGCCUGUACCCGCAGAGUAUCUGGGGGCAGACUUCUGUGUUGUUAUAGAAUGCAUGCUCAGUAGAAUCAUGCACAGUGGUUAGUUGCUCUUUGGUGGAUUGUCUCCUUUGCAAUUUUGUGGGAGAUUCUGUAAAAUAGACUGGAUAUUUCUAUGGUUCCCAGACUUCUGUGGCAUGGUUUUAUUUACUUGUCAAUCAAAAUUAUGUCUAAUAAAUGUCAUGUUAUGAUUUGAGGGUAACCCAUGGCAGCAUUUUUAGAUUGACUUCAUUUAAAAAGCGAUGUUGAUGACAGGGAAUGGAAAAUGAUUUAUUCUGCACAAGGAUGAGGUCAAUUGCACUGUCUCUGAAAGCUAAAGUUCUCAAAUCUUUUCCUUUUGUUUGGAGGACCCAUUGCUCUUUCUCUCAUUCUUUCCGUAUCUGAGACCAGGCUUGUAUUUUAGGGUGUUCCGACAUGGAAACAACCAAAUAAGGUUAUUUGCUCUCCCAAAUGACUCAGUUGAGUAGGAGUAAGGAGACAAGUGAAAGAAUGAUUUAUGAGGCCUUGUGAGGGCUCAAAGGAGAGAAUAGCCGUAGUCUGCCUGGAGAGAAGCAGAGAGGAAGGGUUUCACAGGAGAGCUGACGUUUACACUGAGUCUUAAAAAAGGAGAAAGGACAUGCUAGACGGGGAGAGGGAUAUGAACAAAGUCAGGGAGAUCUGAAACAGUAUAGUACAUUUAGGGGGCUGCAACCAAUUCAGUAUUGCUGGAGGACGGUGUGGGUGUGUGUGUGCGCGUGCAUGCACACGCAGGUGUGUUGUAGAAGGCAGGGUAAGGAUGGUGAAGAUUAGAGAAGUUAUAAUAAGAAAUAACGUUGGGAUGUAAGCAAGAGCUUUGUGUGUCUUACUAAGGAAAUAGGACUUUAUUCUGUAGGUGACGGGAAGCCUUUGUGAUGCUGACUUCUUAAUAUCAUCCUGUCCCUGUCAUGGGCUUUUACCAAUAUCCCUUUCACCCUUAUGCAGUGAGAGGCCCAGAAUGAUCUUUGGAUAGCACACAGUAAUCAAAGCAAGGUAUGGACUAUAUGUGCAUUAGUGUUAAUGUUCCUUUAGGGGGUUGAGGUAGCUCAAGUUUAGGCUUUUGAGAAUGUUGGCAUAUUUCUUGUUUCAUAGGGCUAAGAACGUGGGGCAGGACAGCAAUCUGGCAUAAGUUUAUUGCAGGUGGGAUUUGUUGCAGAUAUAUAGGCUUCUAAGAUGCCAUCUUAAUUAGUACUUCUGGAAUAACUAUGCUUGGAUUCUAUGCAAGAACUUGAUAUGUCUCUUUAGAACUCUUUUGCUUUCUUUCCAUCUUCACAUUUCAAUGAAACUUCACUAGUUUUUAAACUAUAUAUGGCAUACACCCUGUCCAUGACUUAAAAAGAGGACAUAAUUUGCUACUAUUUCCAUUUACAAUUCAAGGUCUCUGAUACGAUAAUUUAGUCUUUGAUUUGUACAGAAAAGCAUAAAGAGUUCAGGCAUCAAAUAUUCCUGAAAUAACAGUUCCAAUUAGUUCUUUGAUGAACUUCAGAGCAAACAAUUAACUCAUUGUCCUUGAGAGAAGAUUGUGUUGAUUCCAGUUUGUGCUCUAACAGGAGAUAUUGCUCCAAACUUCUCCAGAGCUUUGGGAGAGGAAGGUGUCAUGGUGAUCCAGUUCCCACAGUUGACCAAACAAAUUGUCAGCUUCUUG